rnacentral:rRNA from 1 species
ACGCUCGACACCUACGGGAAGCAGCAGUGGGGAAUAUUGCACAAUGGGGGAAACCCUGAUGCAGCGACGCCGCGUGAGCGAAGAAGUAUUUCGGUAUGUAAAGCCCUAUCAGCAGGGAAGAAAGUGACGGUACCUGACUAAGAAGCACCGGCUAAAUACGUGCCUGCAGCCGCGGUAAUCUGAGCGGGCUGGCAAGGC